GAUGAACGCUGGCGGCGUGCCUAAUACAUGCAAGUCGAGCGAACGGACGAGAAGCUUGCUUCUCUGAUGUUAGCGGCGGACGGGUGAGUAACACGUGGAUAACCUACCUAUAAGACUGGGAUAACUUCGGGAAACCGGAGCUAAUACCGGAUAAUAUUUUGAACCGCAUGGUUCAAAAGUGAAAGACGGUCUUGCUGUCACUUAUAGAUGGAUCCGCGCUGCAUUAGCUAGUUGGUAAGGUAACGGCUUACCAAGGCAACGAUGCAUAGCCGACCUGAGAGGGAGACCGGGUACAGAGGAAUAGGGGAGGGAGCAGUAGGCAAACGUGAGGCAGGGGUGGGAACUAGACGGAGAAACGCGGAGUGAGGGAGGAGGGACUCCGGGUCGGAAAAGACUGCUUUUGGGGAAGAAAACACGUGUAAGUGAGAGGGCACAUCAGUAAGGUAACUGAGCAGAGAGACACGGGUUAAUUAGGG
rnacentral:rRNA from 1 species